GCUGCAGCAAGGUCCUUCUCCCUCAGCCAGUGGGAGAGCUCCUCAGAGACAGGGUGUCCACCUCACACCCUUCAACCCCCAGCACCCAGCCCUCCGUGGGGGCUCUCUGCAGUUUGUGGUCCAGGUUCUGUUCUCAGGACAAGCACAAUCACCAACAGGCAUCAGCUGCGCUGGCUCCUGGAAGUCAGCCCUGCGCCACGCCCCUGAGCAGGUAAAGGUCGGGUUUCAGGAGAAUGGUGAGGAAUGGGAUGAUGACUAGAGAGGCAGUCGAGCUGGCAGAGGAUAGAGGGACAGAGAGCCAGUCAGGGCGGCUCUCACGAGCGGGACCACCUGCUCCUCCUCCUGACCAUGGCUGGAGCCUGGGUCCCUGAAGUCACCAGACCUGCAGUUCUGUUGAUUUUUGACACAGGAUCAAAGAAGCCCAUGCUCCUUCAAAGCUGAGACCUGCACCAGUGCUGGAGAGCAAGAAUUCCAAACUUCAAAACUAAGCAGUCUCUGAAGAAUGGAGAUGGCAGGCGUUCUGCUCCCUUACAGCAGCUGGUAGAAUCAAGACCCAUGGGUCCAUGGAGGAAAAGGGGAAGAGCCUCUGUCCUUUGGACCCCUGAUCCCGGGGUUUCCUCUCACACUCCCAUCAUCGCCGUCUCCUCUGUGUGCUGUGCUUAUCAGCCCUGUGGGCUCCAUGGACAUCUCAUGUGCCUGGGAGGCUGCUCUCCUUGUCCUGUGGAUCCAGUUCUUGGCAGCCCCACUCUCAGGAGCACAGGAGUCCUGAGAGCCUCCUUCUGCCCAUCCAGAUGCCCACACACCUGACCAGGAGUGCACUGCUUGUUCUGACAUAAAAAAUGUGAGUUUUCUUCAGUUGUCUCUCGAUGUUGUCUUAUUUAAUAAAGAAACAGCCUUCAGCCAUGCCAGGCAGCCAUGGACUGGAAGCUUCUGCAGCUUGCUCGGGUAGAGCUGUUCCUCCUGGAGCCCUAACAAAGCCCUCCGUUCCCCUUAUGAACCCCCUGCCAUGGCCAUCUUCAGCUCCCCUUGGGGACUGUUCCAGAGAACAAAUCUAAGGACAGAGGCUGAACCUCCCUGGAGCAAGCCUGGCUCUACGGGUGGCUGACUCCCUUAGAGGAGCCGUGCUCCGAGUUUUCAGAAGGAAACUGCAUGUCUUUAAUACAAACACAGGUGUGUCUGUAAUGUUUCUAAAUGGAAAAGGAGUGUUUGCCCUCAGGCAUCCUUGAUGGGACAAUGGACAGCAGCCUCGGUGAAGGUGUGGCUGGGACUCCCAGGGUGUCUGCUCCCUCUGUGUAUGGGCUGGGCUCCCUAAUCCCUGCAAGGAGUCCCAAAGCCAUGGAGUAGAGAGCCUUUGCAGCUGCCCUAGAGCCUGAGAGGCC
rnacentral:lncRNA from 1 species